GAUGAACGCUGGCGGCGUGCCUAAUACAUGCCAGUCGAGCGAACAGACGAGGAGCUUGCUCCUCUGACGUUAGCGGCGGACGGGUGAGUAACACGUGGAUAACCUACCUAUAAGACUGGGAUAACUUCGGGAAACCGGAGCUAAUACCGGAUAAUAUAUUGAACCGCAUGGUUCAAUAGUGAAAGACGGUUUUGCUGUCACUUAUAGAUGGAUCCGCGCUGCAUUAGCUAGUUGGUAAGGUAACGGCUUACCAAGGCAACGAUGCGUAGCCGACCUGAGAGGGUGAUCAGCCACACUGGAACUGAGACACGGUCCAGACUCCUACGGGAGGCAGCAGUAGGGAAUCUUCCACAAUGGGCGAAAGCUUGACGGAGCAACGCCGCGUGAGUGAUGAAGGUCUUCGGAUCGUAAAACUCUGUUAUUAGGGAAGAACAAAUGUGUAAGUAACUAUGCACGUCUUGACGGUACCUAAUCAGAAAGCCACGGCUAACUACGUG
rnacentral:rRNA from 1 species